rnacentral:rRNA from 1 species
UGUGUCGCGCUCCUGCAGUCGGAGGUAGCACAGAGAGCUUGGUCUCGCGUGAGAGUGUGGGACGGGUGAGUAAAGUCUGGGGAUCUCCGCGAUAUAGGGGGAUAACCCCUGGGGACGGUGUGUAUAACCGCGUAACAUCUCAAGACCAAAAAGGGGGGCCUUCUGGGCUCUCUCUAUCGGAUGUGCCCCGAUGGGAUUAUCUAUUAUGCGGGGUAACGGCCCACCUAUGCGACAAUACCCAUCUGGGCUGAGAGGAUGACCACCCACACUGUAACUGAGACACGGUCCACACACCUACAGGAGGCGCCACUGGGGAAUAUUGUGCAAUGGGCGCAAGCCUGAUGCACCCAUGCCGCGUGUGUGAAAAAAGCCUUCUGGUUGUGAAGUACUUUCUCCGCGGAGGAAAGCGCUGAGGUUAAUAACCUUACUGAUUGAGGUUUCCCGCACAAAAAACACCGGCUAACUCCGUGCCACCACCCGCGGUAAUACAGAGGGUGCGAGCGCUAAUCUCAAUUACUGGGCGUAAAGCGCACACACGCGCUCUGUUAAAUCACAUAUGAAAACUCCGGGGUCAAACUGUGAACUGCGUUUUAGACUGUGACGCUUGAGUCUCUCAUAGAGGGGUAGAAUUCCCCGUGUGUCGCUGAAAUGCGUGUAGAUCUGGAGAAGUACCGGUGUCGAAAGCGGCCCCCUGUACAAAGACAGAGACUCUCGUGCGAAAGCGUGUGGAGAACACACGAUUAUAUACCCUGUGAGUCCACACCCCAUACAAUGUCUACUUGUAGGUUGUUCUCUUGAGGAGAGUGUCCCCAGCUAUCACGUUAAACUACACCCUCUGGAGUACAGCGCAAGUGAAAAUCUCAUGAGUUUCACGGGGCGCGCACAAAGCUGGAGCAUGUGUUUUUAUUCUAUGUACACGCAAACCUUAUAUACUCU